UACGGAGGGUGCGAGCGUUACCCGGAAUCACUGGGCGUAAAGGGCGUGUAGGCGGGGUUUUAAGUCUGACUUCAAAGGCAACGGCUCAACCGUUGUAGGGGGUUGGAUACUGGAACUCUAGACCUCUGGAGAGGCAACUGGAAUUCUUGGUGUAGCGGUGGAAUGCGUAGAUACCAAGAGGAACACCGAUGGCGAAGGCAGGUUGCUGGACAGAAGGUGACGCUGAGGCGCGAAAGUGUGGGGAGCGAACCGG
rnacentral:rRNA from 1 species